GAUGAACGCUGGCGGCGUGCUUAACACAUGCAAGUCGAACGAAGAAGCCCAGCUUGCUGGGGGGGUUAGUGGCGAACGGGGGAGUAACACGUGAGUAACCUGCCCUUAACUCUGGGAUAUGCCUGGGAAACUGGGUCUAAUACAGGAUAGGGGCGUCCACGGCAGGGGGGGGGUGGGAAAGAUUUAUCGGUUUUGGCUGGACUCGCGGCUUAUCAGCUUGUUGGUGAGGGAGUGGGUCACCAAGGCGCCGACGGGUAGCCGGCCUGUGAGGGUGACCGGCCACACUGGGACUGAGACACGGCCCAGACUCCUACGGGAGGCAGCAGUGGGGAAUAUUGCACAAUGGGCGCAAGCCUGAUGCAGCGACGCCGCGUGAGGGAUGACGGCCUUCGGGUUGUAAACCGCUUUCGGUAGGGAAGAAGCGAAAGUGACGGUACCUGCAGAAGAAGCACCGGCUAACUACGUG
rnacentral:rRNA from 1 species